rnacentral:misc_RNA from 1 species
UGGUUCUCGCAUCGAUGAAGAACGCAGCGAAUUGCGAUAUGUAAUGUGAAUUGCAGAAUUCAGUGAAUCAUCGAAUCUUUGAACGCAUCUUGCACCCUCUGGUAUUCCAGAGGGUAUGCCUGUUUGAGUACCAUUAACAUUCUCAACGCAGAGUCAUCUUUGGAUGGCUUUGUGCUUGGUCUUUGGGGGGUUUGCUGGCAAGUCAUCGCGACAAGUCAGCUCCCUUGAAAUGCAUUAGCAGGACUUUUGCAAAAGUUUGGCCUCAGUUUGAUAAAUCUUUUAUCUCUGUUGCUGUUGCCAGCAAAAAUGCUCUGUUGUCCAGCUUCUAAUGGUCUUCCGAGACUGUCUCCUUGUAGGCAUUGUCACAAAUCUUUUUUAAAAUUAUUAUUUGUGAAAACUGGUCUCAAAUCAGGUAGGACUACCCGCUGA